rnacentral:rRNA from 1 species
AUUGAACGCUGGCGGCGUGCUUUACACAUGCAAGUCGAACGGCAGCGCGGGCUUCGGCCUGGCGGCGAGUGGCGAACGGGUGAGUAAUACAUCGGAACGUGCCCAGUAGUGGGGGAUAGCUCGGCGAAAGCCGGAUUAAUACCGCAUACGACCUGAGGGUGAAAGCGGGGGAUCUUCGGACCUCGCGCUAUUGGAGCGGCCGAUGGCAGAUUAGCUAGUUGGUGGGGUAAAGGCCUACCAAGGCGACGAUCUGUAGCUGGUCUGAGAGGACGACCAGCCACACUGGGACUGAGACACGGCCCAGACUCCUACGGGAGGCAGCAGUGGGGAAUUUUGGACAAUGGGCGAAAGCCUGAUCCAGCAAUGCCGCGUGUGUGAUGAAGGCCUUCGGGUUGUAAAGCACUUUUGGCGGGAACGAAAAGGACUGUGCCAAUACCACGGUUCGAUGACGGUACCCGCAGAAUAAGCACCGGCUAACUACGUG